rnacentral:lncRNA from 1 species
CUUGCUAUGUCAUAAGCCAUGCUCCUAAAAGGUAUACAGUUCCAAACCUGAAACAGGCAUGGCAAAAGGCCACAAAAGGGCAGCUGCCUCCACAGCUCCCAGUGUACGGCACUCCUGAAUGCCCUGGCAGCAAAGGGUGAGGGCCCCACGUGGGGCAUCAGAACAGCUCCACAAAAAAUUACAUGUUACGUCACAGCACGUCGCUGAGAUCAAUAAAACGGGAAAACAGAUUUCCUCCCCAGUCACCCUUCCCCCAGAACUAAGAAUGUUCCAUUCUUAUAUGCACUUUUGGAAAUCGCUACAAAUGUCUUUCAACAGAAACUGCUCAGACCCAAAAACCUGAGCUCAUCAUUUCAGCCAGGAUGCCUUUCCAGAAUAAGUCAUCAUUCAAAAAGAAUGUGUUAUUUUUCCUGUAGCAAAAACGAAAGCCCUCCUCCCCAACCUCCUUUGUUAAUUUUCAUAGAAUUGCCUUUACCCUCACCCUGUAAAACAUGAGGAAAUUCCAAUCUUUCGCUCUGGAAAGUUACAACACCUGAGUAGUUCUGGGCACAAUGUCCAGCAGAAAUUACUGUAUGUCUACCAUGUGCCUAGCCCUGCUAGUUAUGCCACCCUAUCCAAGGGACAUGCAACCUGAUGAAAUUCUAGAAACAAAGUUAAUCAGAAAGAAAAACGACUGCUAAAGUCAAUGCUUUACAGGUCAUCUUCUCAGUAAAUAUUGAAUGAUGUAGAAAAUGCCCACAAUGUUAAAGAAAAAAAGCAGGACUUCGGCUGGGUGCAGUGGCUCACACCUGUAAUCUCAGCACUUUGGGAGGCCGAGGUGGGCAGAUCACGAGAUCAAGAGAUGGAGACCAUCCUGGUUAACACGGUGAAACCCCAUCUCUACUAAAAAUACAAAAAUUAGCCAUGCAUGGUGGCGGGCACCUGUAGUCCCAGCUACUGGGGAGGCUGAGGAAGGACAAUGGCGUGAACCCGGGAGGUGGAUGGAGCUGGUAGUGAGCGGAGAUUGCGCCACUGCACUCCGGCCUGGGCGGCAGAGUGAGGUUCGAAAAAAAAAAAAAAAAAAAAAAAAA